UACGGGGGGGGCAAGCGUUGUUCGGAAUUACUGGGCGUAAAGGGCUCGUAGGCGGCCAACUAAGUCAGACGUGAAAUCCCUCGGCUUAACCGGGGAACUGCGUCUGAUACUGGAUGGCUUGAGGUUGGGAGAGGGAUGCGGAAUCCCAGGUGUAGCGGUGAAAUGCGUAGAUAUCUGGAGGAACACCGGUGGCGAAGGCGGCAUCCUGGACCAAUUCUGACGCUGAGGAGCGAAAGCCAGGGGAGCAAACGGG
rnacentral:rRNA from 1 species